rnacentral:rRNA from 1 species
CCUACGGGAGGCAGCAGUGGGGAAUCUUGGGCAAUGGGCGAAAGCCUGACCCAGCGACGCCGCGUGGGGGAUGAAGGCCUUUGGGUUGUAAACCCCUGUCAGGGGGGGCGAAAGUUCGCCGUUGAAUAGACGGCGAAUCUGACGGUACCCCCAAAGGAAGCCCCGGCUAACUCCGUGCCAGCAGCCGCGGUAAUACGGAGGGGGCGAGCGUUAUUCGGAAUUACUGGGCGUAAAGCGCGCGUAGGUGGUACGGUAAGGGGCAGGUGAAAGCCCUGGGCGCAACCGAGAAACUGCCUGCCAAACUGCUGGGCUUGAGUCCGGGAGGGGGAAGCGGAAUUCCUGGUGUAGGGGUGAAAUGCGUAGAUACCAGGAGGACCACCGGUGGCGAGGGCGGCUCCCGGGCCCGUUACUGACACUCAUGCGCGAAAGCGGGGGGAGCAAACAGUAUUAGAUCCC